rnacentral:tRNA from 2 species
GGGGAUGUAGCUCAGGUGGGAGAGCGGUACGUUCGCAACGUACAGGUCAGGGGUUCGAGUCCCCUCAUCUCCACCA